UGGGGAAUAUUGCACAAUGGGCGAAAGCCUGAUGCAGCAACGCCGCGUGAGUGAUGACGGCCUUCGGGUUGUAAAACUCUGUCUUCAGGGACGAUAAUGACGGUACCUGAGGAGGAAGCCACGGCUAACUACGUGCAAU
rnacentral:rRNA from 1 species